UACGUAGGGGGCUAGCGUUGUCCGGAAUCAUUGGGCGUAAAGCGCGUGUAGGCGGUCCGGUAAGUCCGCUGUGAAAGUCGAGGGCUCAACCCUCGAAUGCCGGUGGAUACUGUCGGGCUUGAGUACGGGAGAGGCGAGUGGAAUUCCUGGUGUAGCGGUGAAAUGCGCAGAUAUCAGGAGGAACACCGAUUGCGAAGGCAGCUCGCUGGGACGGUACUGACGCUGAGGCGCGAAAGCGUGGGGAGCAAACAGG
rnacentral:rRNA from 1 species